UAUUAUAAUAAUUGUAGAAGUUUUAUCAUGAUUACAGGUGUUGCAUGGCUGUCUUUAGUUCGUGUUGUGAAAUGUUAGGUUUAUUCCGAAAACGAACGCAACCCUUUUCUUUAAUUAAAUUAUUAAAUGAAUGAAUUAUUAAAUUAUUAAAUAAUAAUUGUUUUAAUUUAUUCUUGUUGUGAAUUCUUCACACUUCUCAUUAAAGAUAUGUCUCUCGAUAGGGGAGAACAAUUAGGAUGAAGACAAGUCCUCAUGACCCUUAUGAAGUGGGCUACAGACGUGCCACAAAAGUUUCUACAAUGGGGUGCAAAGAUUUAUUCUCUGAGCUAAUCCCUAAAAGUUACUCCAGUACGAA
rnacentral:rRNA from 1 species